GACGAACGCUGGCGGCGUGCUUAACACAUGCAAGUCGAACGGUGAAGCGCUUGCCUUUUUGGUGGGUGUGGAUGAGUGGCGAACGGGUGAGUAACACGUGAGUAACCUGCCCUCUUCUUCUGGAUAACCUCAUGAAAGUGGGGCUAAUACGGGGUAUUCCGGGUCUGUCGCAUGGCGGGUUUGGGAAAGAUUGCGCCUUUGGGUGUUUUCGGUGGGGGAUGGGCUCGCGGCCUAUCAGCUUGUUGGUGGGGCGAUGGCCUACCAAGGCGGUGACGGGUAGCCGGCCUGAGAGGGUGGACGGCCACACUGGGACUGAGACACGGCCCAGACUCCUGCGGGAGGCAGCAGUGGGGAAUAUUGCACAAUGGGCGCAAGCCUGAUGCAGCGACGCCGCGUGAGGGAUGGAGGCCUUCGGGUUGUGAACCUCUUUCGCCAGUGAAGCAGGCCUGCUCCUGUGUGGGUGGGUUGACGGUAGCUGGAUAAGAAGCGCCGGCUAACUACGUGC
rnacentral:rRNA from 1 species